rnacentral:lncRNA from 1 species
GAAUUUGAAUUUUGAAGAAUAAUAUAAUGCGAAUAAUCUUAAGGUUAAAGUUUGUCUGAAGAGUACAUUAAUGCGAAUAAAAAUUUAAAACAAAAUUGAUAACCAAAAUAAAGUAAAGAAUUAAUUUUCUAUACUCGACAUUACAACAAUUUGGAAAUUACAUCUAUCUAUAAAUAAAUUCUGAAUACAAUAUUGAAUUUUGAAGCACUAACAACACCAUCAUAUGAAUUGGGGUUAGUCCACUUUCAAAGAUCAGUUUGUGGUCUUCAAACAGUGCAUGUAUCUGACAGAAUUUUCUCCAUCCACAACCAAAUUUAACAGAAGCUUUUUUGGCCUUAGGAUAAAGAUCCUAAAAGAAAAUAAACACAUGUAUGAGAUUUAUGAAAUAAACACAAAAAAACACCAUUAAAGAUUUUAUCAGCAAAAAAAAUAAACAAUGAAAACAACAAUGAGAACCAAGGAAGGAAAUGUAUAUGGAAAAACUCCAGAAAAGAUUAAAUCAACAGCAAAGUGAAAAAUGAAAAAAAA